rnacentral:rRNA from 1 species
AUAGGGGAGCCGAAGGGAAACCGAGUCUUAACUGGGCGCUAAGUUGCAGGGUAUAGACCCGAAACCCGGUGAUCUAGCCAUGGGCAGGUUGAAGGUUGGGUAACACUAACUGGAGGACCGAACCGACUAAUGUUGAAAAAUUAGCGGAUGACUUGUGGCUGGGGGUGAAAGGCCAAUCAAACCGGGAGAUAGCUGGUUCUCCCCGAAAGCUAUUUAGGUAGCGCCUCGUGAAUUCAUCUCCGGGGGUAGAGCACUGUUUCGGCAAGGGGGUCAUCCCGACUUACCAACCCGAUGCAAACUGCGAAUACCGGAGAAUGUUAUCACGGGAGACACACGGCGGGUGCUAACGUCCGUCGUGAAGAGGGAAACAACCCAGACCGCCAGCUAAGGUCCCAAAGUCAUGGUUAAGUGGGAAACGAUGUGGGAAGGCCCAGACAGCCAGGAUGUUGGCUUAGAAGCAGCCAUCAUUUAAAGAAAGCGUAAUAGCUCACUGGUCGAGUCGGCCUGCGCGGAAGAUGUAACGGGGCUAAACCAUGCACCGAAGCUGCGGCAGCGACACUAUGUGUUGUUGGGUAGGGGAGCGUUCUGUAAGCCUGUGAAGGUGGCCUGUGAGGGUUGCUGGAGGUAUCAGAAGUGCGAAUGCUGACAUAAGUAACGAUAAAGCGGGUGAAAAGCCCGCUCGCCGGAAGACCAAGGGUUCCUGUCCAACGUUA